UACGGGGGGAGCAAGCGUAGUUCGGAUUUACUGGGCGUAAAGGGCGCGUAGGCGGUAGCACAAGUCAGUUGUGAAAUCUCCGGGCUUAACUCGGAAAGGUCAACUGAUACUGUGCGACUAGAGUGCAGAAGGGGCAACUGGAAUUCUCGGUGUAGCGGUGAAAUGCGUAGAUAUCGAGAGGAACACCUGCGGCGAAGGCGGGUUGCUGGGCUGACACUGACGCUGAGGCGCGAAAGCCAGGGGAGCGAACGGG
rnacentral:rRNA from 1 species